UACGUAGGUGACAAGCGUUGUCCGGAUUUACUGGGCGUAAAGGGCGCGUAGGCGGCCACCGCAAGUCAGUUGUGAAAUCUCUGGGCUUAACCCAGAAAGGUCAACUGAUACUGCGGGGCUAGAGUGCAGAAGGGGCAACUGGAAUUCUCGGUGUAGCGGUGAAAUGCGUAGAUAUCGAGAGGAACACCUGCGGCGAAGGCGGGUUGCUGGGCUGACACUGACGCUGAAGCGCGAAAGCUAGGGGAGCGAACGGG
rnacentral:rRNA from 1 species